UACAGAGGUGGCAAGCGUUGUCCGAAGUUACUGGGCGUAAAGCGCGCGUAGGCGGGUUGGUAAGUCCGCUGUGAAAGCCCGGAGCUUAACUCCGGAGGGUCGGUGGAUACUGCCAGUCUUGAAGGUGCUAGGGGGAGAUGGAAUUACCGGUGUAGCGGUGAAAUGCGUAGAUAUCCGGAGGAACACCGGUGGCGAAGGCGGCUUCCUGGACCGACACUGACGCUGAUGCGCGAAAGCGUGGGGAGCAAACGGG
rnacentral:rRNA from 1 species